rnacentral:tRNA from 1 species
GCACCGUCCAGCUCGGGCGCCAGGCGCUGUUGCCGCCGGGGCUGGCCAGGCAGGACCUGUGGAUCAUCCAGCAGAUGGCGCA